rnacentral:tRNA from 1 species
GCCCGGUUAGCUCAGUCGGUAGAGCAUUCGGCUUUUACACUCGUCUCAACGAGGCGGAUGACACCGAAUUGUCGGGGGUUCGAGCCCCCCAUUGGGCG